rnacentral:rRNA from 1 species
CGGGUUAGUGGCGGACGGGUGAGUAACGCGUGAGAAUCUGCCCUCAGGAGGGGGAUAACGGUUGGAAACGACCGCUAAUACCCCAUAUGCCUACUGGUGAAAUGAAUUUCGCCUGAGGAUGAGCUCGCGUCUGAUUAGCUAGUUGGUGAGGUAAUGGCUCACCAAGGCUUCGAUCAGUAGCUGGUCUGAGAGGAUGAUCAGCCACACUGGGACUGAGACACGGCCCAGACUCCUACGGGAGGCAGCAGUGGGGAAUUUUCCGCAAUGGGCGAAAGCCUGACGGAGCAACGCCGCGUGAGGGACGAAGGCCUCUGGGCUGUAAACCUCUUUUCUCAAGGAAGAAGAUAUGACGGUACUUGAGGAAUAAGCCACGGCUAAUUCCGUGCCAGCAGCCGCGGUAAUACGGGAGUGGCAAGCGUUAUCCGGAAUUAUUGGGCGUAAAGCGUCCGCAGGCGGCUUUUCAAGUCUGCUGUUAAAGCGUGGAGCUUAACUCCAUCAUGGCAGUGGAAACUGAAAGGCUUGAGUAUGGUAGGGGCAGAGGGAAUUCCCGGUGUAGCGGUGAAAUGCGUAGAUAUCGGGAAGAACACCAGUGGCGAAGGCGCUCUGCUGGGCCAUUACUGACGCUCAUGGACGAAAGCCAGGGGAGCGAAAGGGAUUAGAUACCCCUGUAGUCCUGGCCGUAAACGAUGAACACUAGGUGUCGGGGGAAUCGACCCCUUCGGUGUCGUAGCUAACGCGUUAAGUGUUCCGCCUGGGGAGUACGCACGCAAGUGUGAAACUCAAAGGAAUUGACGGGGGCCCGCACAAGCGGUGGAGUAUGUGGUUUAAUUCGAUGCAACGCGAAGAACCUUACCAGGGUUUGACAUCCUGCGAACCU